UAAGAUGUUCAGAGCAACUGCCAGCUUCCU
rnacentral:piRNA from 1 species